AGAGCGUGAGCAGGGGAUGGGGCAGAGAGAGAGACAGAGACAAGGAAUCCAAAGCAGUUCCAGGCUUUAAGGUGUCAGCACAGAGCCAACGUGGGGCUGAAACUCACGAACCGUGAGAUCAUGACCUGAGCCAAAGUUGGACACUUAACUGAUUGAGCCACCCAGGUGCCCCAUAAAAUCUCCCAAGUUUUAAUAUUUUUUUUAAUGUUUAUUUACUUUUGAGAGAGAGAGAGAGAGAGAGACAGAGCACAAGCGGGGGAGGGGCAGAGAGAGAGGGAGACACAGAAUCCGAAGCAGGCUCCAGGCUCUGAGCUGUCAGCACAGAGCUCAACGUGGGGCUCGAACCCACGAGCAGUGAGAUCAUGACCUGAGCCGAAGCCAGAUGCUCAACCGACUGAGCCACCCAGGCGCCCCAAAUCUCCCAAGUUUUAAAUGUUGGGAACUACUUUUAAAACAAAGUUGAACACUGAAUGAGCCGUAAACAACAUUUCCACAACCUAGAUGGGACCUCUGGGCCAGUAGUUUGCUAGCUGUGAGCAAACUCUAGCUCUGUAAAGAGGCUCAGGGACUUACCCACAGUCACACAGCCUGGAAGUACUGGGAAGGUGGACGAACCCUCUCUUCACUUUUGCCAGGACCCUUUCUGUAAGAUUCACUCAGCAGACAUGUUUUCAGAGCACCUGUUCUGUGUCAGGCCUGAGCUUUGCCCUGGGGAUCCAGAAGAAGUCAGGACAGACCGUUACAGUGCCACGUGAUGGCAGCUUAUGGAGGCCCCCAGUGAGGAACCAAGGCUGUCUGGCAACUACGUGAGGGAUUUGGACGCGGACCUUGGGCAGCCUGCCAACAGCCAUGUGAGUGAGCUUGGAAGUGGAUCCCGCAGGUCAAGUGGAGCCUUGAGGUGACUGCUGCCCCCAGGCGAUGGCCCGAUUGCAACCCCCGGGACACUGAGUCAGAGGCACCCAACUAAACCACACCUGGACACCUGACUCCAGAAACUGUGAGAUAAUAAAUUUGUGCUGGUUUAAGCCCCCCCAGUAUUGGGGCCAUUUGCUAUGCAGCAACAGAUAACUAAUACACAUGCAUCCUGCCCCCAGCCAGGGCCCUUUAAAGGCCAGCUCUGAUCCCAUAGCUCCACACACAGUCGGUCAUUGAUCUGCCAUCUCAGCAGGCCUGUGUCUUCAGCUGCUCUUGGCAAAGACCUCUCGGGCACAGUUGGACAGAACUGGCCCCAAGACACAGAGCUGCCCCGUCUUGGUGAAGACGGGCCGUGGGCUGGCUAUUUUUAUAUCAGUUCCUCUGAAGGUGCAUACAUGCAUGCUGCAAGAGAGCGGGAGCAGGGAGGAAGCCGUCAGGGAGAGGGCCUGAGCGGGGGUUUGGCCAUGGCACCGCAUUGGCCUCUGGGGAGGGACGGUACCUCACUUUAUGACUCCGUGCCAUGCCCUGCACGAAGCAACUCGGCACUGAGACGUCGCCCCGAUCCUCAGGAGGACCCUGCCCAGGGAAAAUGAUCCCCAUCUUACAAAUGAUGGAAUGGGGACCCAGAGAGGGUAAGCGAUCUGUCCAAAGUCACACUAGUGUGGAGGGGCACCUGGGUGGCUCAGUUGGUUAAGUGUCCGACUUCGCCUCAGGUCAUGAUCUCUCAGUUCAAGGGUUCGAGCCCUGCGUCGGGCUCUGUGCUGACAUCUCAGAGCCUGGAGCUUGCUUCGGAUUCUGUAUCUCCCUCUCUCUCUGCCCCCUCCCCUGCUCACACUCUGUCUCUCUCUCAAAAAACAUGA